AACGCGAAGAACCUUACCAGCUCUUGACAUCAUCUGACCACCCUAGAGAUAGGGCUUUCCCUUCGGGGACAGAUAGACAGGUGGUGCAUGGUUGUCGUCAGCUCGUGUCGUGAGAUGUUGGGUUAAGUCCCAUAACGAGCGCAACCCUUAUUGUUAGUUGCCAGCAUUCAGUUGGGCACUCUAGCGAGACUGCCGGUGAUAAACCGGAGGAAGGUGGGGAUGACGUCAAAUCAUCAUGCCCCUUAUGAGCUGGGCUACACACGUGCUACAAUGGACGGUACAACGAGUUGCGACCCCGCAAGGGUUAGCGAAUCUUUAUAAGCCGCUCUCAGUUCGGAUUGCUCUCUGCAACUCGAGAGCAUGAAGCCGGAAUCGCUAGUAAUCGCGA
rnacentral:rRNA from 1 species